UACGUAGGGUGCGAGCGUUGUCCGGAAUUAUUGGGCGUAAAGAGCGCGCAGGUGGUUGAUUAAGUCUGAUGUGAAAGCCCACGGCUUAACCGUGGAGGGUCAUUGGAAACUGGUCGACUUGAGUGCAGAAGAGGGAAGUGGAAUUCCAUGUGUAGCGGUGAAAUGCGUAGAGAUAUGGAGGAACACCAGUGGCGAAGGCGGCUUCCUGGUCUGUAACUGACACUGAGGCGCGAAAGCGUGGGGAGCAAACAGGAUUAGAUA
rnacentral:rRNA from 1 species